ensembl:lncRNA
CUUAACUAAACUGAUUCUUCCAGCCUGGAACCUUCCUUGGUGUGAUGAGAAGCCCUGGACUGAGCUGCUCCCCUGUGCAGCUGUGUUCUCUGCAGUGACUGGAGCUUGGUGACCCAAGGAGAGAGCCUUCAAAACGAAGGUGCUCGGGUGGAGUUCAGAUGUCCCACAGAGGUCCAACCUAAGGAGCUGAAGUGACAGAGAAUGUGUCAUCCUCAGCUGUGGAAACCCUGGGCCUUGUUUAGCACUCAGAGGAGACUGAAGCAUUUUGGAAGUGCUGGAAGAAGCCCCAUGCCUGUCCCUAUCCUCACCCUCUGUCCAGUUGUUUUGGAUGAUGUUUUGGAGUGAGACCUGUGACCCUUCAGCCCCCAAAUCCUCCAUGGGAACUCAUCAGAUGCAAGCUGAAAGAAAAUACUGCCCUAAAAUUCCAUAUUGUUUCCCUUGAAGCCUGAUGGCUGCUCCAUGCCUAAACCCCGGGGAUGCUCUGAUGGCCGGGAGCACCACAGGGGGAAUGGGAUGUGCAUCCUCCCUGUCCUGUGCCCCAGGGGCACAUGGAGACAUGGGCUGGUGCAAAAUGGGCCACUGACUGUUGGGGGGAUGAGAACACCUGUGCGACAGCCCCAAAUAACCAGUCCAGCCCACAAUAACCAGUUACCCAGUCUGGGCUUUGGAGGCUCCGGUGUUUCAAUGAGCUCGAAUUUGGGACCUGCCACCCAGCAGGGGUAAGGACCAGACCAAAUGGCACCACUCAAAGCAGAAGGACACUGUUUCCCAUCACCUCCCCCUCCUCUGCUGCUGACAGACAGGCUCAGGCAGCAGAAAGGCUGGAGGAGGCUGCUCUUCUGCUGGAGCAGAUAGAAGUAAUUAGUCAAAUCACUGCGGCGCAGAGAGGGAAGCUGGCCCAUCUCCUGUGCACCACAAAUGACUCAUGGCAUAACAACUUCAGUAAAGGGACAUUUUUUCCCUCUUCUGCUUCAAGCAGGGAAACAGAGAGAUGAGCUUUUCAAAAGGCCAUCAAGGCUUUUGUUUGAGAGCUUUGCCUUCCAGGUCUCCCAGGACCACUGAGAAAGUCAUGACCUGGAUAAAUGUCAUCAGCAGUCUCUCUGGGAGGCACGGACACCAAGAGCAUUUCUGCCUUCUGAAGGAGCACAGCCAUGACCUGCAGGAUCCCUUUGCCAGAGAAGGAGAGAAAUGUUACAGCACGACAGCUCCUCUGUCCCAGCUGCACGUGGCACCAGCCAGCACACAGCACCUGGACAGACAGACAGACAGACAGACAGCACAGCUCCUGAUGGGGACAGCAGCAAAGAGAGGGGUAAGGGCACCUGUCACACCCAAAGGCAGCAGCCCAUGGAUUUAAAAGUAAGAUGUGCACAUUUGGUGGCUGCACUUGGGUGGUUUCUCCUGGCACAAAGUGGGGUGAUACCAGAUCCAUCCUGGCCUCUUUUUCUGCCCCUCCAUCACACCCCAGCACUGACUCCUCAAUACUCGGAGAUGCAUGAUAAUAUUAGGUAAUUUAAUGGUUUAUAGUAUAUGUAUAUCUAAUAAUAUUUAUUGCUUAUAAUAAUUUAAUGUAGUAUACUUAUAUAAAUAAGUAAAGCAUAUAAAUAUAUAUAUCCACAUAUAGCCCUCUAAAAGACCUUUAUAUACUUAUGUUUAUAUGAGAUCUUUAAUACACAUGUAAAUAAUAUAACAUAAUAUAAU